GCUUCUUCUCCCUCUCUUCUUAAUCAUUUAUUCCUUCUUCUUUUAUCCUUCUCUUCUUUUACUUCUUGUUCACUCGAGUAACAGAGAGAGUGAGAGGGAGAAAACAAGAGAGAUCGAGUGAGAUUGAGAGAGAGACAUCACAGAGAGAGAAAGAAAGGGAAUCGGUCGAGAGAUUGAGAUCGUCAGAGAAGAGGAGAGAACCCGGAGACCUGUGCUCAGAGCCGACGAACGAAGACCCGAUCAGAGGCCAAUAUCCAGUGGGUGGACUGGGUCAAUGCCGAUGAACCCAGAUGGAAACCAGACCUUUUAUGGUCGCCGAAGGUGCGAUUUCCAGCCGAUCGUCAAUGGUUGAUGAGGGAGACGACUUUUGGUGACUUGGAGCACGAAAUCCAGCGAUUUCCAGAGAUGAUUCCGACGAUUUUUCGAUGGUUUUUCCUUAGCUUCAAAGGGAAAUUCUCUAGAUGAUGAGUUAAGAGAUUGCACAAAAAGAGUUGUUUUAUAAAUGAAGAUUAGAGCGCAAGAGGUUUUAAAGCUAAUGAC